rnacentral:rRNA from 1 species
CAGUAGCCGCGGUAAUACGAAGGGGGCUAGCGUUGUUCGGAAUUACUGGGCGUAAAGCGCACGUAGGCGGAUAUUUAAGUCAGGGGUGAAAUCCCAGAGCUCAACUCUGGAACUGCCUUUGAUACUGGGUAUCUUGAGUAUGGAAGAGGUUAGUGGAAUUGCGAGUGUAGAGGUGAAAUUCGUAGAUAUUCGCAGGAACACCAGUGGCGAAGGCGGCUAACUGGUCCAUUACUGACGCUGAGGUGCGAAAGCGUGGGGAGCAAACAGGAUUAGAUACCCCUGUAGUCCCUGUCUCUUAUAC